UACAGUCAGCGUUCUAGAAAGCUCUCCCUGGCAGCUGUGCGGAGGAUGGAUGGGAGUGGGGCCAGACUAGCAGAGGAAGCCCCGUCAGGAGGUUAUUGCGGUAAUUCAGCCAUUGGCAGAUCUCCACCACAAUGAAAAUGAUUUAGGGCCCCCAUACAUUCUCAGUCUGGUUACGUUUCAGAAACUGUGAUAAAAGGUAUGUGAUAAAUAAAAGGUUCUUGUUAGAAGCCAAGAAAUUUCAAUUCUAGCCCUGACACCACUGUUUCACAGGUCAGUAUGUCUUCACGAUAUGAGGAGGGUGAGAACAAUUUCCUGCCGCCACGUGCCUGUCUCCUCUGGACUUCCCAAGAGAGGAGUGGGGGCAGGAGGCAUGGGGGACUCUGGAGCAGGUGUCACCAGGAGGGAGGGAGGAACCAGGGAGCUUGAAGAAAAUGUAUGGUUAUUUUUCUAGCUAAAACCACGUUGUUGGAAGGCAGAGGUGGGAGGAUCACCUGAGGUCAGGAGGUCAAGACCAGCCUGGCCAACACGGUGAAACCCCGUCUCUACAAAAAUAUUAGCCGGGUG
rnacentral:lncRNA from 1 species